UCCCUAUCAGUAUGUGUUUGGAGUGUGGGAAGAAACCGGAGAACCCGGAGGAAACCCACGCAAACACAGGGAGAACAUACAAACUCCAUGCAGAUGUUGUCCUUGGUCAAAUUUAAACCCAGGAUCCCAGCACUGCAAGGGAAUAGUGUUAACCACUGA